AUUCACCCUAUUGUGUUUGCCUCUUUCUUCUUCCUUAGAUUCAAGAGCUAGGUUUCAGGAAAGACAACCAUUGGCGAACUCAUGGACGAACUCACCACCACCGGCGAAUUGCACUACCACCGGAGAACUACCGUACCAUCGGCGACCUCACCAUCGUUGCUAGCGAACUACAAAUUUAGGUUACUUCAAUAGAAAAGGCUGAAUAUGAGAAAAUCUUAAAAGGCGCUGACAACAGAAGAUAGUACCAAUCUGUCUCGUUCGGCAAAAGGCUACAAUCAUAAGAAUGGACGAUGGGGUGGGCAUGGUACUUCAAAGAAUAAGAUCGGCAGCCGUGGAGAAGACAAGGUUGUGCAAGUUCCUGUUUCUACUGCUAUCUAUUUUGUGGAGAGUGAAAUCCCUUCAAUAGUGGAGAAGUCAUCUUCUGUGAUUCACCCUUGGGAUCUUCCAG